AUGGCGGCGCUGGUGAAACGCGCGCGGUUUGUGGUGCCACCGUUGCUGCAGAUGGUCCAGGGCUGGGACCUUGACGUGAGGCGCUGGGGUCCGAGUGCUGCAGCGGAACCCAGUGAAAGCGGUGUUUCCUUCCGGGGAGGUGGUGGAACGGAAGUGCCCUCCUGGGAAGCGGCCACGCAAGGCAACACCUGAGGCCAGUGCCCACGAGCACCGAGAGAAACAGCCGCUUGAGGUGUCCUCAUUCCACACUCCCAGCACCUGGGAAGAGUCUGGGCUUCACUACGGAAAUCUUUUCGUGCCAUCUGUAGAACAAUAAAGGAAGCCAAAUGGAGUCUCUGCGCCUCCCUCUCUGAAUCCAGGCAGCAAUGCCACUACCGUGUUAAGGAACCGUUUCUGAUUUAGAAGGGCCUAGAUAUGUAAGCUCAUGAAGCCAAGCAUCCGAAAGCAAAACUCAACAUCAAACACGUCCAGAACCAUGACGUGCACUUGCCAAUUUACCCUUGGAGUGGGAAUACUUCUGUCAUCUGUAUAACAUUUAAAAAGAAAAUGCCCAUUAAGAAGGAGAAGGGUCUUACUCUGUCACCAGGCUGGAGUGCAAUGGCAUCAUCAUAGUUCACUGCAGCCUUGAACUCCUGGGCACAAGGGAUCCUCUCGCCUCAGCCUCCCAAGUAGCUGGGACCACAGGUAUGCACCACCAUACCCAGUUAAUUUUUUUUAUUGUUGUAGAGAUGAGUUCUCACUAUUUUGUUCAGGCUGGUCUUGAACUUUUAGGCUCAAGCAAUCCUCCCACCUCAGUUUUCCAAAGUGUUGGGAUUACAGGCACGAGCCACCGCGCCCGGCUCAAUGUCUUAACAGAAAACAAAUCUGAAUCAAAUAAGGCAUAGACAGAUUAAUAGAUUAUAGAUCUACAUCAGUUCAGUUCCAACAGGAAACACAUGCCAUGCUGAAACUGGAUCAUUAAAUAUUGUUAAAUGAAGAGAGGGUUUAUAAAGGUGUUACACUAGAUUACUAGGGUCGUCAUAACACAGUACUAGAGACUGGAUGGCUUAAACAAUACAAACGUAUUUUCUCAGGGUUCUGGAGCCUAGAAAGCCAAAAUCAAAGCGUCAGCAUGAUUCAUCCCUUCUGGGGGUGUAGGGGAAAGACCUGGUCCACGCCUCUGUCCUUGACUCAUAGAUGGCCAUCGCCUCCCAGUGUCUUCACACUGUCUUCUUCUAUGUGUGUCUAUUUCUGGAUCCAAAUUUAUGCUUUUUAUACAAAUACUAGUCUCAUUGGAUUAGAGCCCACUUUUUUUUAUUGUUGUUGGAGGCAGGGUCUCACUUUGUCACCCAUGCUGGAGUACAGUGGUGAAAUUGUAGCUCACUGCAACUUCAAACUCCUGGGCUCAAGUGAUCCUCCCACCUCAGCCUCCUAAGUAGCUGGUACUACAGGUGCCCACCACCACAUCUGGCCACAGCCCACUUUUAUGGCCUAAUUUUAACUUGAUUACUCCUGUAAAGACCUUUUCUCCAAAUAACGUCACAUUCUGAGAUAUUGGGAGUUAGGAUUUCAACAUAUUAAUUGGAAGAGGGGAACAUAAUUCAGCCCAUAACAGGCUGGGAACAGUGGCUAAUUCCUAGAAUCCCAGCUCUUUGGGAGGCCAAGGCGGGAGGAUGACUUGAGAUCAGGAGUUCAAGAUCAGCCAGGGCAACAUGGUGAAAACCUGUCUCUACUAAAAAUACAAAUAUUAGCCUGGCAUGGUGAUACAUGCCUGUAAUCCCAGCUACUUGGGAGGCUGAGGCAGGAAAAUAGCUUCAACCUAGGAGAUGGAGGCUGUAGUGAGCCAAGAUUGCACCACUGUACUCCAGCCUGGGCCACAGAGCAAGACUCUGUCAAAAAAAAAAAAAGUAAUAGGUGUAGACACUGCUUGAGUAAACCAACAAGGGAUAGUCACAGCAGAAAGCUCUUUCCACCCUAGGAUGAAAGAUGAAUGGAGAGCAAUAUGGAACUUAAACCAUAGGAGGCUUGCUUGAGGC